GAAAUUUUAUGAAAUAAUUAGUAAUAUACUCACUUGGAUCCAAGAAUUUCCGUGUGGUAUAUAGAUUCCACAAUAGAAGCAUCGUAAGGCAUAAACAUGAUGUUUGAUCCACCAGAUUAUCCAUACAGAGAAUUAUCAGAGGUUUAUGAAUCAAACAACUUUUUCAACAAUGAAUCUCAUCAAAUUAUAACUGAAAAUAAAGAUAUGGAUGUCGCUACAACAAGUAACAUCCAAACUCAAUUGUAUUUUAAUACUAAUGACUCCGGAAGAUACUUUAAUGUAGAUAAUGUUUUUCUGCAAGGAAUUGAUGAUAUAACCAUCCCAGGCACUGAGUUUUACGUCGUUGAAUCUGAAAAUACAUUAAAUUAUGAACCAACGUUACUUGAUGAAAGCACAGUUAAUGAAUUUCUUUUGCCGCCUCCUGAAGUUAUUGAAAAAAACACAGCAUGCGAAAUUAUAAAUGAUGUGGAUAACCCAGCAUCCGAUAGUUUGGCUCUACAUUCUUGUUUCGUAUGUCACGAAACAUUUACGACGGACGCAGAUCUUCUCGAUCACACCAUACUUCUGCAUGCUUCCGAUAACUUAGAUGGCAACAAAAAUGUUUCUUUGCCCGUUUUUGAUGAAGAGCCGGUGCAGGUCGUUCCGUGUGAAGAUACAAACAACAACAUAAAUUUCGAAACGGAAUGGCUCAUUUGCCGGGUUUGCGAGCGUGUCUUAUCAACUGCUUUAGAAGUAGAGCCUAACGAACAACUAUGUUGCGUAAACAGCAGUGGGAAAGGCAGCGUCUUAUCAAGAAAACUGUACAGCAUGUACGUUUGUGACGCAUGCAACGGAUUAUUCGCCGAAGGUGACGCUUUGGACAAACAUAAACUCACUUGCUUGGCUGAAUCGAACUAUGAGGCAGAUAUCACGGAGGAAAGCCGUAAUGGGAAUAUUUCGCAAUGUACUCGUACCGAAGUUUGUUUUACCUGUGACAAAUGCAGUAAACAAUUUUCUUCAACGGAGGAUUUGAAAUCGCACGUAGUGAAAUGUCAAAUACCUGAGAUAUCUAGCAAUGCACCGCGUAUUUAUAGAAAUAAUACUAAUAAUAAAAUGUGGAACUGCGGCUCGUGUAACCAACUCUUUGUUACCGCUAGAGAGUUGUAUCGCCACAAGCGCGGCGAGGAUCGCCCCGACGGCGCUCCGAUGACGGCGUACGUCUGCGAAGAGUGUGACAAGAUACUCGGCAGCAUGUGCGCUCUGCACACACAUAAGAAAAUGCAUAAAGUUAUCAAGCCAGGCUACCCAUGUCGGAUUUGUGGACGUCGAUUCAAUCAGUCUGGACAUUUAGCUAUACACAUGAGGAUGCAUACUGGAGAACGGCCGUAUCCUUGCGAUCUAUGCCCUAAAGCUUUUAAAGUAAAGACAGAGUAUGCGUUGAUCGUGGCAACCCUGGUGACUCGUAUGAUGGCGGCAGGUGGAGCGCGACGACCACCGCCGGACCCACACGGGCGAGCGUCCCUUCGCGUGCGCCGCCUGCCCUAAGACGUUCACCGCCGCGGCACGCUUGCGUGAACACGCACGCAUUCACACAGACCAAAGACCAUACCGGUGUGAAAUUUGUGGAGCAGCGUUCCGAAGACCUUACGCGCGAACUGUCCACACGCUCAUCCACACGGGAGAGAAGCCGC
rnacentral:misc_RNA from 1 species